rnacentral:rRNA from 1 species
UACCAGCACCCCGAGUGGUCGGGACGUUUAUUGGGCCUAAAGCAUCCGUAGCCGGUUCUACGAGUCUUCCGUUAAAUCCAACUGCUUAACAGGUGGGCUGCGGAAGAUACUAUAGAGCUAGGAGGCGGGAGAGGCAAGCGGUACUCGAUGGGUAGGGGUAAAAUCCGUUGAUCCAUUGAAGACCACCAGUGGCGAAGGCGGCUUGCCAGAACGCGCUCGACGGUGAGGAGCGAAAGCGUGGGGAGCGAACAGG